rnacentral:rRNA from 1 species
AGAGUUUGAUCAUGGCUCAGGAUGAACGCUAGCGACAGGCUUAACACAUGCAAGUCGAGGGGCAGCAUGGGCGUGGCAACACGCCUGAUGGCGACCGGCGCACUGGUGAGUAACACGUAUGCGACCUGCCCCGGACAGGGGGAUAAACCCGGGAAACUGGGCCUAAUACCCCAUACGCCGAUUGGAUGCAUGUCCUUUCGGUGAAAGAUCCGUCGGUCCGGGAUGGGCAUGCGGCGCAUUAGCUUGUUGGCGGGGCAACGGCCCACCAAGGCGACGAUGCGUAGGGGUUCUGAGAGGAAGGUCCCCCACACUGGUACUGAGACACGGACCAGACUCCUACGGGAGGCAGCAGUGAGGAAUAUUGGUCAAUGGGCGAUAGCCUGAACCAGCCAAGUCGCGUGCGGGAUGAAGGCCCUCCGGGUCGUAAACCGCUUUAGCCGGGGAGUAACGUGCGGGACGCGUCCCGCAGUGAGAGUACCCGGAGAAUAAGCAUCGGCUAACUCCGUGCCAGCAGCCGCGGUAAUACGGAGGAUGCGAGCGUUAUCCGGAUUUAUUGGGUUUAAAGGGUGCGCAGGCGGCGUGUCAAGUCAGCGGUCAAAAUGCGGCGCUCAACGCCGUACCGCCGUUGAAACUGGCAUGCUCGAGUUCGUGCGAGGAUGGCGGAAUGCGCGGUGUAGCGGUGAAAUGCAUAGAUAUCGCGCAGAACUCCGAUUGCGAAGGCGGCUGUCCAGCACACGACUGACGCUCAUGCACGAAAGCGUGGGUAUCGAACAGGAUUAGGUACCCUGGUAGUCCACGCGGUAAACGAUGAUAACUAGUUAUUCGGCGCGAUUGAGUGCUGAGUGACCGAGCGAAAGCGUUAAGUUAUCCACCUGGGGAGUACGCCGGCAACGGUGAAACUCAAAGGAAUUGACGGGGGCCCGCACAAGCGGAGGAACAUGUGGUUUAAUUCGAUGAUACGCGAGGAACCUUACCCGGGCUCAAACGCAGCGCGACAGACCCUGAAAGGGGUUUUUCUUCGGACGCGCUGCGAGGUGCUGCAUGGUUGUCGUCAGCUCGUGUCGUGAGAUGUUGGGUUAAGUCCCGCAACGAGCGCAACCCUUACCUUUAGUUGCUACGCAAGAGCACUCUAAAGGGACUGCCGUUGACAAAACGGAGGAAGGUGGGGAUGACGUCAAAUCAUCAUGCCCCUUAUGACCUGGGCUACACACGUACUACAAUGGCAAUCAACAAAGAGAAGCAAGACAGUGAUGUGGAGCGAAUCUCAAAAAAUUGUCCCAGUUCGGAUUGCAGGCUGCAACUCGCCUGCAUGAAGUCGGAAUUGCUAGUAAUCGCGGAUCAGCAUGCCGCGGUGAAUACGUUCCCAGGCCUUGUACACACCGCCCGUCACACCAUGGGAGUCGGUAACACCCGAAGUCAGUAGUCUAACAGCAAUGAGGACGCUGCCGAAGGUGGGAUUGAUGACUGGGGUGAAGUCGUAACAAGGUAACCGUA